rnacentral:rRNA from 1 species
GAUGAACGCUGGCGGCGUGCCUAAUACAUGCAAGUCGAGCGAACGGACGAGAAGCUUGCUUCUCUGAUGUUAGCGGCGGACGGGUGAGUAACACGUGGAUAACCUACCUAUAAGACUGGGAUAACUUCGGGAAACCGGAGCUAAUACCGGAUAAUAUUUUGAACCGCAUGGUUCAAAAGUGAAAGACGGUCUUGCUGUCACUUAUAGAUGGAUCCGCGCUGCAUUAGCUAGUUGGUAAGGUAACGGCUUACCAAGGCAACGAUGCAUAGCCGACCUGAGAGGGUGAUCGGCCACACUGGAACUGAGACACGGUCCAGACCCCUACGGGAGGCAGCAGUAGGGAAUCUUCCGCAAUGGGCGAAAGCCUGACGGAGCAACGCCGCGUGAGUGAUGAAGGUCUUCGGAUCGUAAAACUCUGUUAUUAGGGAAGAACAUAUGUGUAAGUAACUGUGCACAUCUUGACGGUACCUAAUCAGAAAGCCACGGCUAACUACGUGCCAGCAGCCGCGGUAAUACGUAGGUGGCAAGCGUUAUCCGGAAUUAUUGGGCGUAAAGCGCGCGUAGGCGGUUUUUUAAGUCUGAUGUGAAAGCCCACGGCUCAACCGUGGAGGGUCAUUGGAAACUGGAAAACUUGAGUGCAGAAGAGGAAAGUGGAAUUCCAUGUGUAGCGGUGAAAUGCGCAGAGAUAUGGAGGAACACCAGUGGCGAGGGCGACUUUCUGGUCUGUAACUGACGCUGAUGUGCGAAAGCGUGGGGAUCAAACAGGAUUAGAUACCCUGGUAGUCCACGCCGUAAACGAUGAGUGCUAAGUGUUAGGGGGUUUCCGCCCCUUAGUGCUGCAGCUAACGCAUUAAGCACUCCGCCUGGGGAGUACGACCGCAAGGUUGAAACUCAAAGGAAUUGACGGGGACCCGCACAAGCGGUGGAGCAUGUGGUUUAAUUCGAAGCAACGCGAAGAACCUUACCAAAUCUUGACAUCCUUUGACAACUCUAGAGAUAGAGCCUUCCCCUUCGGGGGACAAAGUGACAGGUGGUGCAUGGUUGUCGUCAGCUCGUGUCGUGAGAUGUUGGGUUAAGUCCCGCAACGAGCGCAACCCUUAAGCUUAGUUGCCAUCAUUAAGUUGGGCACUCUAAGUUGACUGCCGGUGACAAACCGGAGGAAGGUGGGGAUGACGUCAAAUCAUCAUGCCCCUUAUGAUUUGGGCUACACACGUGCUACAAUGGACAAUACAAAGGGCAGCGAAACCGCGAGGUCAAGCAAAUCCCAUAAAGUUGUUCUCAGUUCGGAUUGUAGUCUGCAACUCGACUACAUGAAGCUGGAAUCGCUAGUAAUCGUAGAUCAGCAUGCUACGGUGAAUACGUUCCCGGGUCU